UUAGGCGGACGGGUGAGUAACGCGUGGGUAACCGUGCCGUAUACAGGGGGAUAACACUUAGAAAUAGGUGCUAAAACCGCAUAAGCGCACAGCGCCGCAUGGCGCAGUGUGAAAAACUCCGGUGGUAUACGAUGGACCCGCGUCUGAUUAGCCAGUUGGCAGGGUAACGGCCUACCAAAGCGACGAUCAGUAGCCGGCCUGAGAGGGUGGACGGCCACAUUGGGACUGAGACACGGCCCAAACUCCUACGGAAGGCAGCAG
rnacentral:rRNA from 1 species